UUGCAGCCACAUCACGUUGAAUGCACCGAUUCUCGUACGAUCAGUGAAGUUAAGCAACGUCGAUCCUGGUCUGUACCUAGAUGGGUGACUGUUUGGGAAAACCGGGUGGUGUA